GGCGACAGGCACGAUCACCAGCGUCGGCGCCCCUUUCAGGAACCUGAGGCCGUUGGAGAGGAUGUCGGUGAGGCCGCUCGUCUUGAAGCCAUCGGCAAUGGCGAAUCCUGCGCCGAGGAGAAGGAUGAUGUUCCACUGGAUCUUCUUGCACUUGUUCCAGUCCAUCAGCUUCUCACCCUCCCUCUUCCCGCUGGGGAUUAUGAACAGAAGGG
rnacentral:misc_RNA from 1 species